rnacentral:rRNA from 1 species
CCAAUAGCGUAUAUUAAAGUUGUUGCAGUUAAAAAGCUCGUAGUUGAAUUUCGGGACCAAUAUGUCGGUCGUGCCUCGGUACGUACUGGUGUCAUUGGUUUCUCCCUUCUGAGGAUCCUUGAUGUCAUUAAUUUGGUGUCUUGGGGAAUCAGGACUGUUACCUUGAAAAAAUUAGAGUGUUUAAAGCAGGCAUACGCUUGAAUACAUUAGCAUGGAAUAAUGAAAUAGGACGUUCGAUUCUAUUUUGUUGGUUUCUAGGAUCGACGUAAUGAUUAAUAGGGAUAGUUGGGGGCAUUAGUAUUCAAUUGUCAGAGGUGAAAUUCUUGGAUUUAUUGAAGACUAACUACUGCGAAAGCAUUUGCCAAGGAUGUUUUCAUUAAUCAAGAACGAAAGUUAGGGGAUCGAAGACGAUCAGAUACCGUCGUAGUCUUAACCAUAAACUAUGCCGACUAGGGAUCGGAUGAUGUUAUUUUUAAUGACUCAUUCGGCGCCUUACG